rnacentral:rRNA from 1 species
GACCUCAGAUCAGACGAGAUGACCCGCUGAAUUUAAGCAUAUCAAUAAG